rnacentral:rRNA from 1 species
AGAGUUUGAUCCUGGCUCAGGAUUAACGCUAGCGGCAGGCCUAAUACAUGCAAGUCGAACGGGAUUUCGGGUAGCAAUAUCUGAAUGAGAGUGGCGCACGGGUGCGUAACACGUAUGCAAUCUGCCUCUGACUGGGGAAUAGCCUUCCGAAAGGAAGAUUAAUACCGCAUAAAAUAAUGAAGUGGCAUCACUUUAUUAUCAAAACUCUGGUGGUCAGAGAUGAGCAUGCGUCCGAUUAGCUAGUUGGUGAGGUAAUGGCUCACCAAGGCAACGAUCGGUAGGGGGUCUGAGAGGAUGAUCCCCCACACUGGUACUGAGACACGGACCAGACUCCUACGGGAGGCAGCAGUAAGGAAUAUUGGACAAUGGUCGCAAGACUGAUCCAGCCAUGCCGCGUGAAGGAUGAAUGCCCUAUGGGUUGUAAACUUCUUUUAAACGGGAAAAAACCCCUCUACGUGUAGGGGGCUGAUGGUACCGUAAGAAUAAGGAUCGGCUAACUUCGUGCCAGCAGCCGCGGUAAUACGAAGGAUUCGAGCGUUAUCCGGAUUUAUUGGGUUUAAAGGGUGCGUAGGUGGACUAAUAAGUCAGUGGUGAAAGCCCGCAGCUUAACUCGGAAACUGCCAUUGAUACUAUAGGUCUUGAAUCAUCUGGAGGUGAGCGGAAUAUGUCAUGUAGCGGUGAAAUGCUUANAUAUGACAUAGAACACCGAUUGCGAAGGGCA